UUCCAUUAGAAAACCCCACCCACCAAAAGGUAGGAGAAAAUGGCUAUUCAACUGUGUACUCUUGAUUUAUACCACAAGCCAACUGACUAUCUGGUAAGCAUACAGUGACUUUUAUGUAGUAACCAUUUGCUUGAGUAUAUGGACCUGCAUUUAGUUGAGUUGCCUCUCACCUGUGAAACGCUGGAGCUAGUCAUUGCACUGCAGCCACAGUUGAGACAAGACUUUCCCUUACUCCCCUUGGUGAUUCGUGACUGGCUCAUCACCGUACAUUCCCUCCCCAUAUCUCCACCCUCCUUCCUCGCCCUCCUUCCCCGCCCUCCACCCUGCCCUCCAUCCUGCCUGCCAUCCCCUUUCUAUCAUCAUUUGCACGCACUGGUCCAUUUCUGUCUCUCUUUCCUCUCUUCACCUACACUUUCCUUUUGUCACAUGCACGCACCGUUUCAUUUCUAUCUUCCUUUUCUCUUCCUCUUUCCUCUGUUUUCCUCCCUUCCAUCUCUCGCACGCACCUUCUAAUUUCUGCCCCUCCCCUUCUUCCUUUCUUUACUAACAUGGGAUCAUGACAGCUACCUUCCCGGUGGUGAUCCUGUUAAGGGAAGCUUUCCUGCUAAAGGGAAAUUUCCUGAACUAAAGCUGUCAAAUAGGGGAUGUUAGUACACUGGAUCAUUUUGAACGAUUAUCAGCUUUAAUAUCCCUUUAUAAUGGAGAUCGAGAUGAUAAUUUCAUGUUUUCCUCAUGCAAUUUCGUAUUGAGACAAGAGAAAGUUGCCAAAUUUGAAAUACACUUGAAAAACAUUCAGCUUGCUCCUGUACACUGUUUGCGUGUGCCCUCUAUCUAUGAGACCGAUCCAUUACAGUACACAUGUCACGUGAGUGUUACUGAGUUUUCCACCAGCCCGAGCGCUGCAUGAAGAAAUUGUUUUGCACUACAAAAAGCUUGCAAAAUAAUCAUCUCUUGUAAGGAUUUUGACUUCAGAGACAGAGGCCUCAUUCAUGGCGGGCUAGGACCACAGUGGAGUGUUUGAAGAUGACAAACCUGGUGAGAGUGAGACGGCUGUUUUGAAAAUCAACCGCCAUGACCGCACAUCCAUGACUACCACGUUCACUGCGCUCAAGUUUUACAUGCAUGGGAAACCAGUGAACUGAGAUUUGACUGGUCUUUACUUUCAAAACCCAAACUUAUUAGUUGCUCCAUGAGUUGCUUGCGGUUCACUCUGUCUUGAACUUGAAUUGCAAAGAUGAUGUUGAUGUUCCUUGUACAUGUUGGAGUUUAGACUGUUCAGACGAUUUGAAAGGUUGCUGCUUGAACUUCUACAGUGGCAGUCUGCAGUACUUCUACUUCUUCUCUGGUACUCGGUAGAAUUCACAAGACUUGAUGUAAUGCUGACAGACUACUUGACCAUGAGCAGUGCAGGAGGUGCAUAAAACGUGCAACUUGAAACUUAAGCGGUUCAUGUGAACAACGCCAUAGCUUCUUUGGGGGAGGCUCUAUCUGGACAGAUGCUGUCUACAUAGAUGGUACCUAUUGAUCUUCUGCCAUGGGAACCAAGGUGCAGACAGGCAGUUCAGGAUGUCUGUGAGGGAUGAGGCACCAUCCUGAGGUCUUCUCUGGCUUCUCUCAGGACGAUUGAGAGUUCCGAACUGAAGAGACUGACCUUUGCAAACCAUGCUGAGGCUGGAUUGGACCAGACCAGUGCCUAGACUAGGCAGGACAGGCUGGAUGACCAUCACCAUGGUGACUGGGAUGACCUUAAGGGUGAGUCAAACCAAGAAUACAACCUGCUCCAUCAAAACUCAUCACAAUGUGCACCAAACAACCUCCUUUGUAAAUGACCAUAAUUCUCUCACUUGAUUCUUGUGAAUUGGAGUUUUGUCCUCAACAGUCCGACUGGGAGAACUUUGACAUAAACCUGUCGGCAUCCUGGACGAUACAUUGUAAUUUGAAGAAGAAAGAGAAAUGAAAAUAAUUUCUCAACAAUGAUCAUGACAGUCAUUUCUGAAACACAGAGGAAUUACAAGUUCCCCUUAUUAAAUGAUUACUGUGUGAUUUGAUAUACAUAAAUGUUAUUAAACCAGAAUUUUAUUUGUGUGAACCGUCAAAGAGAAAUGCAAUAUUGAGAUUGAAUUAUUUGCAUUAAGUGUCCAGUGACUUUCAUAGUGGUUUGCAAGCAGAUAAAACUGUCACAUUGAUAUUAAAUUUAUGGCUUCUUUUGUUGCAAACCUCUUACAGUAUGGUGCACAUGUUCUUAAUUUGAUGGAGCAGGUUUAACAUUUCAUAUGAGAGAUUUAAGGGAAAAGUUACUAUGAAUUGAAGCAUUUUUCUCCAAACUAUUUAAAGGCAUAUAGGAUCAUUUGCAUUUGUCCCCAAAUGAGCCUCCCACGUUAUCAUAAAAUACUUACUUGGACUAAUUAGCGAUAGUAAUGAUACUAAACACCCCAUAAAAUUAUCGUGUCUGACAUGCUGUCAUUUCAAAAAUAUCAAGAAAUGUAGGUGAUUUCCAACAAGCAGUUAUUUGCAUGUUUUUUUGGAAUAAAAAGUGCUGAUGAAACACAAUCAAAAAGUCAUGCUUGGUUUUUCACUGUUUUCUUACAAAGUGUACUAUUCACUGAACUGAAACUUCAACAAAUUAGGUUUUGAACACUCUUCUUUUGAUUUUGAGUGAUGUUAUUAUUGGAUAAAGAAAAUGCACAAACAGCAAAUGAUCCUAUAUAUGCUUUUAACUGUUGCCAUAUAGUUUUCCGUGGCAAAUGGUACACACAUAUGCCUACUCUAUCAUUGGUUGCUAGAAAAGAUUUGUUUCAUUUCCUACUGAUUUCAUUUUGUUUUAAAAAUUCAUGAGUUUGUUUACCUGAUAUCAUUUGGUUCUGAAAUCAUAAUAUGUGAACAUUUUUUGUCUGAGCAUGUAAAAUGUAGUUUCUGUCACUGCAUAAUAUGCGACAAAAAUUACAAGUUUUUACCUUUCUUUAAUCAUUGAUGGAAAAGUUAAGUCACUUCAAAUCUCUGAGCUGCCUGUUUUUAUGAGGAUUGAAUAUUUUGGUAAAGGGAAAAAUCAUUGUAACUAUUAAUGUUGAUAUUGAUGAUCAUUUGCUGACAUAAUGAAGUGAAAAUGUUUCUUGUUUCUGCAAACGAUUUAGAACAAUAUUGAGAUGUAUGCUGUUAUGUUGUAGGUGCCAGGCUACAUCAGGAUAACAUGUAGCUGACAAUAGUUGCAAAAAUUGUUGCUCUCCUUUUAAAUCUAUGGCUAACUUUUGGCUUCUUUUCUAAAUACUCAAAAAUAAUUUCAAAAAUUCCUCACCCUAUUUACAUGUUCCUGCCCUUUUUUUCUCCACGUUUGCUAGACCUUUUAGUCCCUAACCAUCAACUGAAAAAAAAAAACUUUUUAAAAUCCUCUGCAUAUUACAGUGUUGCUAUUCUACCCUUUGGAUUCUACCCAUUGUCAAUCACGUGGAUCACAAAAUAUGAACGAUUUAAAGUUUGACAAAUGAUCUUCUUUAGCUAAGAAUACCAAAAACCAAAUGAUGUACAGCCAAAGUCAUCACUUUGGUUCACCAUGUCUCAAAAGUCUUGGUUAUUUAAAUAAAUGUUAGUAGUUGGUGCAUGCUGUUAAUUACAAAGUCCCUUUAACUCAUGGCAAGUACAAUGCUAGGGGCGUUCGCGUAGUUUGUCGGUCUUGUGCACAUAACUUUAUUACUGAAUAUCAGUGGUCGUUCAUAUUGUGACAGACCUGGUCAUGUAAGCUGCUUGCUAGCCAUCUCUGAGAGUCAUCCCCUCCCUUCCUUUUGGGCAACCAUUUCUUUGGUACUCUGCCCUCAGUAUCUAUUCUUUAUUCAUCUCUUUAUGCCAUCUUUCUUAGAUACCUUUGCCUUCCAUUCUUUUCUGAUCUUAUUUCAAUUCAACAGUAACAUUUAUUUCCAUCUAAAACAGAGUAAAAGAACCAUGAGAACAAUACGUUUCUAUAUAAAGAUGGAGGCAUUCUUUUAAAAUCCAAAGCUUAUAGGGGCAUGCCUUACAUAAAUGCAUUGGUUACCAAUGUGUGUAACUGUAAGGUUUUUCAUUUGUAUUGUUUUGAUUAUUAUUAUUGAACAAUAGUUAAAU